GUAGCUCAGUUGGAUAGAGCAUCUGCCUUCUAAGCAGGUGGUCGCGGGUUCGAUUCCUGCC
rnacentral:tRNA from 1 species